GGCGGGGUUCCCGAGCGGCCAAAGGGAGCAGACUGUAAAUCUGUCGUCAUCGACUUCGAAGGUUCGAAUCCUUCCCCCGCCACCA
rnacentral:tRNA from 1 species